rnacentral:rRNA from 1 species
CCUACGGGAGGCAGCAGUGGGGAAUAUUGCACAAUGGGGGAAACCCUGAUGCAGCGACGCCGCGUGAGUGAAGAAGUCUUUCGGUAUGUAAAGCUCUAUCAGCAGGGAAGAAGGAAGACAGUACCUGACUAAGAAGCCCCGGCUAACUACGUGCCAGAAGCCGCGGUAAUACGUAGGGGGCAAGCGUUAUCCGGAUUUACUGUGUGUAAGGGGAGCGUAGACGGCUGUGCAAGUCUGAAGUGAAAGCCCAGGGCUUAACCCUGGGACUGCUUUGGAUACUGUGCAGCUAGAGUGCUGGAGAGGUAAGUGGAAUUCCUAGUGUAGAGGUGAAAUGCGUAGAUAUUAGGAGGAACACCAGUGGCGAAGGCGGCCCACUGGACAGUAACUGACGUUGAGGUUCGAAAGCGUGGGGAGCAAACAGGAUUAGAUACCCUUGUAGUC